rnacentral:rRNA from 1 species
UGCCAGACUCCUACGGGAGGCAGCAGUGGGGAAUAUUGCACAAUGGGGGAAACCCUGAUGCAGCGACGCCGCGUGAGUGAAGAAGUAUUUCGGUAUGUAAAGCUCUAUCAGCAGGGAAGAAAUACUGACCAUAGGGUCAGCAGACGGUACUUGACUAAGAAGCCCCGGCUAACUACGUGCCAGUAGCCGCGGUAAUACGUAGGGGGCAAGCGUUAUCCGGAUUUACUGGGUGUAAAGGGAGCGUAGACGGCAGCGCAAGUCUGAAGUGAAAUGCCAGGGCUUAACCCUGGAACUGCUUUGGAAACUGUGCGGCUAGAGUGCAGGAGAGGUAAGUGGAAUUUCUAGUGUAGCGGUGAAAUGCGUAGAUAUUAGGAGGAACACCAGUGGCGAAGGCGGCUUACUGGACUGUAACUGACGUUGAGGCUCGAAAGCGUGGGGAGCAAACAG